rnacentral:rRNA from 1 species
CACGCCGUAAACGAUGAGUGCUAGGUGUUGGGUGUCAAAGCUCAGUGCCGCAGCUAACGCAAUAAGCACUCCGCCUGGGGAGUACGAUGGCAACAUUGAAACUCAAAGGAAUUGACGGGGACCCGCACAAGCAGCGGAGCAUGUGGUUUAAUUCGAAGCAACGCGAAGAACCUUACCUGGACUUGACAUACCCUGAAUAUCUUAGAGAUAAGAGAAGCCCUUCGGGGCAGGGAUACAGGUGG